CACACCGCCCGUCGCUACUACCGAUUGAAUGGCUCAGUGAGGCGUCCGGACUGGCCCAGAGAGGUGGGCAACUACCACUCAGGGCCGGAAAGUUCUCCAAACUCGGUCAUUUAGAGGAAGUAAAAGUCGUAACAAGGUCUCCGUUGGUGAACCAGCGGAGGGAUCAUU
rnacentral:rRNA from 1 species